AAGGAAAAGCAUAUGGUGAAGAGAAAUGAGAGAGGAGCAAAGCAGUACACUGGGCCGUGCCUAUACAACCACACUGGAAUAAAAAUACCGUCACAGCGGCCAAGCACCGGUUCAGGACCUGGACAGCCUCCUUAGUAGCAGGUGGAAAGGAGUGACAGAGUUGGACAUCAUCCGCGUACAGAUGACACCAUACCCCGAAACUCCGGAUGAUCUCCUGACAAGUUAUCUUCAACCAUUACACUUAUUGACUGUUCAAAAUAAACAACAUUUCCUGUUUUAUUCCAA